UACAGAGGGUGCGAGCGUUAAUCGGAAUUACUGGGCGUAAAGCGCGCGUAGGCGGCUUUGCAAGUCGGGUGUGAAAUCCCCAGGCUUAACCUGGGAACUGCAUUCGAGACUGCAUUGCUAGAGUAUGGGAGAGGGAAGUGGAAUUUCCGGUGUAGCGGUGAAAUGCGUAGAUAUGCGGAGGAACACCGAUGGCGAAGGCAAUCCCCUGGGCCUGUACUGACGCUCAUGCACGAAAGCGUGGGGAGCAAACGGG
rnacentral:rRNA from 1 species